AUGCUGUCACUGCAGCAUUGUGUGUUUUCUCUGAUGUUUCUCUCCAUUCUAACAGGAGUCAGCUGUGAAGAACUCACUCCAACUGAGAAAGAAAAGAACAGUUUAGAAGGCAGCUCUGUUACUCUGUCCUACAGAUAUUCAUCUGGUAAUUAUUUCUUCUGGUACAGACAAUAUCCAGGAAAACCACCCGAGUUCAUCAUCUCCCACUCUGCUUCAGGAAUAGUAGGAAUCAAGAAUAACGUAAUUCCUGGACUGAAGAUUAAUGUGGAGGACAAACAAAUCCAUAUGAACAUCUCCUCAGCUAAGCUGUCUGACUCUGCUGUGUACUACUGUGCUCUGAGGCCCACAGUGACA